GGAAGUUACUGCUAUCGAGGUCCGACUAAGCCACGCGAGUCGAAUGUAGCAAUACAUGGCGAACUGCUCAGUAACACGUGGACAACCUACCCUCAGAACUGGGAUAAACCUGGGAAACUGGGUAUGAUACCGGAUAGGUCUUGGAUGCUGGAAUGCACCGAGGCCCAAAGCUCCUGCGUCUGAGGAUGGGUCUGCGGCCUAUCAGGGUAGUAGUGGGUGUAAAGUACCUACUAGCCUACGACGGGUACGGGUCGUGAGAGCGAGAGCCCGGAGAUGGAUUCUGAAACACGAAUCAGGCCCUACGGGGUGCAGCAGGCGCGAAAACUUUACAAUGACGGCAACGGCGAUAAGGGGACCUCGAGUGCCAGGAUACAAUCCUGGCUGUCGUAAUGCCUAAAAAGCAUUAUAUAGCAAGGGCCGGGCAAGACCGGUGCCAGCCGCCGCGGUAACACCGGCGGCUCGAGUGGUAACCGCUAUUAUUGGGUCUAAAGGGUCUG
rnacentral:rRNA from 1 species